AAAAAUUUCAUCAGUAAAGAUGAAACUGUUGAGCUGGAACGUCGUUUUUUACGGUCUCGUAUCCAUGAUGGUUUUCGUGGUCAUUGGCAGCUCGUGUAAACCUACUCUACCUGCAGUUACAUCUACUUAUCGUCCUGGUACGAGGCCCCCCUCCCCCCCACCGACCGUGGCGAUGAUUUUGGGACCGUGUCCAGAUGAUCGGAUGAGGGAUUCAAAUGGGCUUUGUCGCAGGUUCAUCACUCCCCCGGGAAUGAAAAAAGUGCAAGAUCACUCGUAGAUGCCCUCCGUGUACGUAUGGAGCACCCACACGGUGCGAGUGUGUCUGCGGAGAACUUAUGCCCGAUUGUGACUUGUCUACGCCUACCACUCACGGACCUCUUGAAAUGGAUGUGUUUGCGACAGGAUAACUUCGCAUUCGAUUUAACUUUAUCGUCCGUAAGAACACGAAAAAUGUCACAGAAAUUGAAAAAUGUUCUCGGAAGGAAUUUUCCUUCGCGUUUGUUUUCUGCGUUUUCCUCUACUGUACUUGUUCAAAAUAGUUGUUGAAUAAUAAAUCAAAUAUGUAGAUUCUCA